AGUGAACGCUGGCGGUAGGCCUAACACAUGCGAGUCGAACGGCAGCACAGUAAGAGCUUGCUCUUACGGGUGGCGAGUGGCGGACGGGUGAGGAAUACAUCGGAAUCUACUUUUUCGUGGGGGAUAACGUAGGGAAACUUACGCUAAUACCGCAUACGACCUACGGGUGAAAGCAGGGGAUCUUCGGACCUUGCGCGAUUGAAUGAGCCGAUGUCGGAUUAGCUAGUUGGCGGGGUAAAGGCCCACCAAGGCGACGAUCCGUAGCUGGUCUGAGAGGAUGAUCAGCCACACUGGAACUGAGACACGGUCCAGACUCCUACGGGAGGCAGCAGUGGGGAAUAUUGGACAAUGGGCGCAAGCCUGAUCCAGCCAUACCGCGUGGGUGAAGAAGGACUUCGGGUUGUAAAGCCCUUUUGUUGGGAAAGAAAAGCAGCAGGUUAAUACCCCGCUGUUCUGACGGUACUCAAAGAAUAAGCACCGGCUAACUUCGUG
rnacentral:rRNA from 1 species